rnacentral:ncRNA from 1 species
CACCGCCGGGUAGCUGCGUCCGGUCGGGAUAAGCGCUGAAAGCAUCUAAGUGCGAAGCCCUCCUCAAGAUUAGAACUCCUUUUUCAGGGCCGUCCCAGACGAGGACGUCGAUAGGGUGCAGGUGUAAAGACGGCGACGUCAAAGCCGAGCGCUACUAAUAGCCCGAACCGUUUUUUUCG